GGCGCUGUGACCCCCGCGGCUCUCGGAGCCGCGGCUGCCGGGGGAGAUGCUGGGUCGGGGCGGUCUGUGGGGAGCUCCUGUGGUUGUAGCGUCCGCUGCGGGCUGGGAGAGGACGCGGAGUGAGAGGCGCUCGGUGCCCGUGCGGAGCGGUGUGCGCCCGGUGGGAGUGCCGCGUAGCGCUCAGAUGCCAUCAAUGGCUCCAAAAUCAAGUGACUUUUCCCUCUGGGAGUGGCAGCAUUUCUACGAGCAAUGCCUACUUUGUCUGUAGGUUUUCUGACAAAGCGGAUCGGAUGGAAACUUCCCCAUCUAUCAAACGACCGGAUAAAAAGGGCACGGGAGAGUCCUGAAAGAUUUCUUGCAAGAUUUAUUUUGCUAAACGAGGAUGCAUGUAUGGGAUCCAAGAGCAACGGUGGGAUGGGAGAUGGCACGGAGCGAAGACCCCCAGAUCUCCUUAACCAUGGCUUUAAUAUACUCCUCAAAUUUGGAACAAUGAGGGAAUGAAUUUCUCAGAUGUGCAUGGUAAUCAGUGCUGAAGAAAAUUUCUGCCCAGGACUUCAUCUGGAGUUUCUGACAUCUCCUGCCUAUGUGUAGGGGUGAGAGGAGCUGGAAAAGCUGCUGUGCCAUAGCCAUAAACUUCAGUGUUCCACUGUUGUGAUGAUAAGACAAAGGAAACCUGUUAGAUGUGGCGUAGUAUUCCUUUAGACACGUGCAUAGCUGAACAGAAGAUGUUGCUAUCCAACUCUGUGUCACAGGCUCUGCAUCCUGCCCGCCCUCCCCUAACACUGCAGAUACAGGUAGAGCAAACCCCAAGGGCAGGCAGCGCCUGCAUCCACCACUGUCACAUGGAUACCCCUCCCACCAUUGCCUGGCAAUAAAAAUGCAGUUCUGAAAAAGAAAAGCGGUGUUAUGCAAAUAUGAAGCAUGGGAGGAAGGAUUUAAUGUGAGACAAUGGUCCCUUAAUGAAAGGCACAAACAUCAGUCACUCACGGCUGAAUGAGUUGAUCUGGAGCUGGGUGGAGUGACAGCCCAGAAAGCUUCACAUUAACUCAAUUAAAUCCCAUUAUUCUUUAGAUUUUUUAAAAAUAAUGAAAUUAAUUUCACGUGACUGUGAAAGGAGCUGGAAUGACUGCCAAAAACUGUUCUCGUGGCAGGCUACAGAGGUGGGAUUAGCUAGUAAUUGUGGCACCAGGCUGGUGCUUGGGAGAGGUGGGCUUUGCUUUGCUGCGUGCUCCGUGGGGGCCUGGUGUGCAUCCCAUGGGCUCUGAUGUCUCACCUGCCCGGCUCUGGAUGGCGAUAGGACUCUUUGUACCCACAGAGCAGUGCUGGAGACAGCGCUCAGCUUGCGGGAUGGGGAGGUGUCACUGCAGCUGGAACAUCUCUUCCAGGAUCCCAGCAACGCUCCUUUGGCCUGGGCUGGGAUCUCCUGCAUGUUCCUGUAGGAAUGCCAUGGAGAGCGUGUUGAGUUGCUUCCUUUCAGUAGGUGUAGGGAGCUGGACUCCAAUGAUCCUUGUGGGUCUUUUCCAGCUUGGGUUAUUCUAUAAUUCUGCAAUUCUCUUGCCAUGGAAAAGAACCUGCCUUUCUUGUGAGGUCAUCACAAUUUCAGUACUUGAGCAUUGAGAUAUAGCUGUUCGUACUGAGCCAUGCUGCUUUGGACAGGAAAAAUUCAGUGGGGAAUUGUUGGCUGGCUGCUAUCUGCACACGAAUCUCUCUUUAACGUAUUGCCUUUCUCCUUUCCUAACCCUUUAUUUGCAUUCAGGUUUCUGGUUCUUUCCAAGGAAAUCAUUGAGUAUGCCACCAGGUACAUCCUCACAGAGCUAGAAGAAGCCACUGAAGCGGCUGCUGGCUCCGCCAUCCCCCUCUCUUCUGACUGCAGGACUGCUCCAAUGCUAAUGCUUUGCACGUGGGAUUCAUCUGCCUUGAGCUCUUGAUGUUGAGAGUUAAUCAUUGGACUGCAAACUUGUCACCUACGGCUCUCCAUAUAGUUAAUGGAGAGAAAUAGACACCUCCAGAAGGCAGUGUGUCUCAUCUAUCUUGGAUAUCUGUGGGAAGAUGAAAUGAGCUGCUUCUUGGAGCUACCCAUUUCUCUCACUGGUCUGAAGGGAGCCGAGGGUGCUGGAUCAGAUGGAGGUGAUUAACAUUUAGAUAUGUAUGGCAAAGUGAAAUGAAUCUCACCUCUUUUGAGUAAUUCUCAUUGCCUUGACCUGGUGGUGACUGAAAACCUCUUGAGACCCUUCUGCAUAGCACAUCAAAUCCUAGCUUGGGGCAAACCUGAGCAGCUUUGCAGUUUUCCAGCAAAUGAAAGCACUGCUGAUCAGUCAGGUCAAUCCCCAUGCAGCAGGAUGAUGCUAGUCUGGGAGGAGGCAAAGAAAUGUUGUAAAGCAGAGGUGCCCUUUCUCUGUGGGGUGCUUCCACCUACCUCUACGCUGUGGCUCGGUGCUCAGAAACAAGUGUAUCCAGAUUCACUUUUUCCUGCCCUGAAGAGCCCUGCGAGUAUAUAAAGUGGGGCUACAAGAAAAAAGAAGACACACUUUUUAGCGGGAUCUGUGGUGACAGGACAAGGGGAAAUGGUUCCCCAUUAAAAGAGGGGAAGUUUAGAUUAGAUUAGAUAUAAGGAAGAAGUUUUUUACAGUAAGAGUGGUGAAACACUGGAACAGUUUGCCCAGAGAGGUGGUGGAUGCCUCAUCUCUAGGGACAAUUAAGGUCAGGCUGGACAGGGCUCUACGCAACCUGAUCAAGCUGUGGAUGGCCCUGUUCUUGGCAGGGGAGUUGGACCAGAUGACCUUUGGUUGUCCUUUCCAACUCAAACAAUUCUGUGGUUCCGCGAAACAGUCUGUUUGUCAGCAUGAAUGGGAUUCCAAUGCUCAUUUUAAAGGCUUUCGCAGCUCUCUGAAGCACCUUGUGCUGACUGCAUGUGAGAGAUGCUGUGGGAGGUGGUCCUCUCAAAGCUGCCUCUUCCCCAAGCUCAGGAUGCAGUCUGUUCUCCUAAGGAGACAAUCCCCCCCUUUUUUUUUGUCUUCUAUGUAUAAGUGAUUUACUGUGCUGUCAGUGCCCAGUAAUCUAUUGCUCUGCAACUCCUCGUCACAAGCAAAUUAACGAACCAGCAUCCUCAUUUAAUUUGGAUUAAACUUUGCAGUUAAGAGCUGACAGAAGGCACCAAAAAUACCGGCGUAAUUGCUGUGUAUUUCUAUGUCUGAGCUCCUCAGCAUUACUGUCAGGCUGAUGUUUGCCGUGAGUGGUCCCUGGUUGUGAACAGGGCCCUGAAGUAUAAACAGAUGGGAUUUCUGCAAGAAAACUUGUGAAAUUUCAGGUAACCAACAUGGCUUCAGCAGGGGCAAGUCGUGUCUGACAAACUUGGUGGCCUUUCAUGAUGGAGUUACAGCAUAAGUGGAUAAAGCAAGAGCAACUGAUGUCAUCUACCUGGACUUGUGCAAUUUGAUGCUGUCCCACAUGACAUCCUGGUUGCCAAAUCGGAAAAAAUGGACUUGAUGAAUGGACCACUGGCUGGACAAGGAAUUGGCUGGAUGGCCCCACUCAGAGAGUUGCAAUCAAAGGCUCAGUGUCCAUGUGGAGACCGGCAGUGAGUGGCGUUCCUCAGGGAUCAGUACUGGGACCAGUGUUAUUUAAUACCUUUGUAGGCAACAUGGACAGUGGGAUAGAGCGCCCCCUCAGCAAGUUUGCAGGUGACACCAAGCUGAGUGGUGCAGUUGACACACGAGAGGGAAGGGAUGCCAUCCAGAGGAGGGCCACGAAGGGCUGCAAAGAAGGAAGAAGAAACCUCUGACCCUCCCAGUGCCCCCAGUGGUCAGCACAGUAGCUCAGCAACAGCAACGCCUUUCUAAUCAAACCAACGGAUCUUGGUUUUGUGUCAGAGCCCAGAGUUGCUCCUGAUGUCCUGCUGGAGGCUCAACCUUGCAAGACCUGCCUUGGAUCUUGGUGACCCUAUCAACCACUGGACAUAAGGCUGAACUUGCUGAUGAAACUGUAUCAGAAGUGCCAGAGCUUGGUAUGGAUAUUGCAGAAUGGUAACUGCCCACCAGGUGUUCCUAGCUCCCUCUUAGACACAAUCAUAAAAAGGCAAACAUGGUCCUGAGACCUGUGUCCUACAGGAUGAAAUCAGUGUCAGGAACUAGAUUGGUUUCAAUGGCAGUGGCUAAAUUCAGUGUGACGAUACUUAAAAUGUGGGCAGCAGAACAUGCUGGAGGUGCUCUGUAGAAACAGGGGCAGCUCAAGGCUGUCAGUUGUUAAAGCAUUUACCUACCAUAGACCAAAUGUCAACCUGAGAGCAGAGUGAGGGGUGGAAAAGGGAAAAAGCCUUGGCUACAGCCCAGCUGCAGCAGAUGUUGAGGGCUCAGUCCAGGAACAGGGCAUGAGCUGAGGACUGGAAUGGACGGACACACCUGAGUGAACUCCACCACAGCCAGGCGAGCUCCCAGGGACGUGCAGGAGUGCACAGAGGCCCAGGAACCAGGGGACAACAAGGGGGCCACCCCCGCACAAAGCCAGCCAUCACAUCUCAACACUUCUUCAUUCCUCUGUGGACUGCAAAGGAGCCUAAACAGGUCAGAUCUUAUCCUGGGCACCAACCACACAGUGGUGAAUGACUAUGGCAAAAUUUGCAAGAGUAGUAUUGUUCCCUCACCUCUGAAGAAUACUGUAAAUACUUUCAGUACUUUUGUUUGCUUGCAGAGUGGGAUAAUCCCUCUUAACUUGACUCUCUGCUAACCCUACAUGCUGUUUCUACAUUUAGUUUUGAUUAAAAAAAAAAAAAGAAGAAGAAAAAUUGAUUACAUUUGAAUACAUAUUUAAGAGGGCGUUUAACCCCCCUCCUGUCAAUUGGUUAGAUCCCAUCUGAGAUGGCUGAGUAGAAGUGACAAUGCUUCUGGCUAGGACUGCAUUACAGAGGGUUCAGUGUGCUGCUGGAAGUGGGGAAUAUUUAAUUACAGCAAACUCCCCUGAGAUGGGAUGGAUAGGUCACAUGAACAACCCAAUCUGUCUGCUGCAGGUAAGCAGGCCAUGAAUAACAAGCACAGUCUAAUUUAGGAAUGUAAAUAGAGGGAUGCCUGAUUUGAGGCACUGAGGCCUGAACAUUUUAGGCAUCAUUGUACAAAUAAAGCAGGCAAUCUGUACAGCAGUUUUGGCUCUGAAAUGAC
ensembl:lncRNA